rnacentral:rRNA from 1 species
CUAUAGCUUGACACUGAACAUUGAGCCUUGAUGUGUAGGAUAGGUGGGAGGCUUUGAAGCGUGGACGCCAGUCUGCGUGGAGCCAACCUUGAAAUACCACCCUUUAAUGUUUGAUGUUCUAACGUGGACCCCUAAUCGGGGUUGCGGACAGUGUCUGGUGGGUAGUUUGACUGGGGCGGUCUCCUCCCAAAGCGUAACGGAGGAGCACGAAGGUUAGCUAAUCCUGGUCGGACAUCAGGAGGUUAGUGCAAUGGC